UUAAUUGAAACCAAAAUAGAGGUAAAUUAUUGUUAAUAAUUAAAUUGAUUUUUUUAUCCAAUUAAA
rnacentral:tRNA from 1 species